AUAAAAGCAGUGGUCUGAUUCCUAUAUGAGCAGUCUUCUCGUAACAAUCAGGGAUAUAAAAACCAUUGUUUUUGGGUGAACCUAUGUCCUUCUUUGUGAUUUUUGUGACCGUAGGUUCAGUAAAUGAUGGGACAUUU